rnacentral:rRNA from 1 species
GCUAAACGCGAAGAACCUUACCCACACUUGACAUGCCUCUUUGGACUUUCAGAGAUGAUUGUCUUCGGUUCGGCCGGGGAGUGCACAGGUGCUGCAUGGCUGUCGUCAGCUCGUGUCGUGAGAUGUUGGGUUAAGUCCCGCAACGAGCGCAACCCUUAUCGUAUGUUGCCAGCAUUUAGUUGGGCACUCAUGCGAGACUGCCGGUGACAAGCCGGAGGAAGGCGGGGACGACGUCAAGUCAUCAUGGCCCUUACGUGUGGGGCUAGAAACGUGCUACAAUGGUGGUGACAGUGAGCAGCGAGGUCGCGAGGCCAAGCUAAUCUCUAAAAGCCAUCUCAGUUCAGAUUGUAGUCUGCAACUCGACUACAUGAAGUUGGAAUCGCUAGUAAUCGCAAAUCAGCAUGUUGCGGUGAAUACGUUCCCGGGUCUUGUACACACCGGAGGUCGGUGG